CCAAUAGCGUAUAUUAAAGUUGUUGCAGUUAAAAAGCUCGUAGUUGAACUUCGGGGUUCACCCAUUGGUCGGGCUUAAUUGUCUGUACUGGUGAGAUGAGUCUCUACCUUCUGAGGAACUUUCAUGCCAUUUAUUUGGUGUGAUUGGAAAUCAGGACUGUUACUUUGAAAAAAUUAGAGUGUUUAAAGCAGGCUAACGUCUGAAUACAUUAGCAUGGAAUAAUGAAAUAGGACGGAUUGAUUCUAUUUCGUUGGUUUCUAGGGUCACCGUAAUGAUUAAUAGUGAUAGUUGGGGGCAUUAGUAUUCAAUUGUCAGAGGUGAAAUUCUUGGAUUUAUUGAAGACUAACUACUGCGAAAGCAUUUGCCAAGGAUGUUUUCAUUAAUCAAGAACGAAAGUUAGGGGAUCGAAGACGAUCAGAUACCGUCGUAGUCUUAACCAUAAACUAUGCCGACUAGGGAUCGGACGCAGUUAAUUUUAUAAUGACGUGUUCGGCACCUUACG
rnacentral:rRNA from 1 species